CCCUAGACAGGCUCUCAGCGGGCUCUGCAGAUAAAGUUAAACAGAGGUAAGCGAGCCUUUUGGAGAAGGGAAAUCUGCACUCUCUAAUCCUUUCAUUCUGGGCUCCAAAGUAAAGAGAAUUAAAUGUAAAAAAAAAUACAGUGAAAAAAUUCUAUGCAAACAGAUUUAACAGAGUAUUAAAGUUGUGGGUUUAAUAGUGUGAAUUUGGAAGUAAGUGAUUAAGGAACAAAAUGACCUCUAGCUACAGUGUGCAUUAGCUUUCCUGUCAGAAUGUUCCCUGAGGAGGAUCCUCACACACAUGUAUACCAUGGCUGUUGUAAGACAUGUUUGCAUUUGCAAAGUGAAGGAGAACAUGUGCAUAGUGGGAUAAAUAUUCUGAUCACCUGAGUCUUCUACUUAAUAGAAGCAUUCGGAAUAUCAUUGUUUUUAUCCUCAACACAAAGCUUUCAAAAUAUGUGAAUUAAUGUAUUUUUCUCUACCAAGAAAUAAUGAAGAGCUCUCAGAACUUGGAGUGAGAAAACAGGUAUUUAAGUCAAAUUUCUGCUCUUUUCUUGCCUGGAGACUUUAAAAGUAGCUUACCCUCUGUAAUCCUCAGCUUAUUUGUCUACAAACUGGUGUGAUUACCUACCUCUGUAAAAAAAAAAAAAAAAAUCAAACAUGAUAAUCAAAUUAAAGUGCAUUGUGAUAUUUCAAUCAACAUAAAAGAAUUAGAAUAAAUGCAUCUCCCUCAAUUACUGAUCUCCCUUAAUUAACCCAUAAUUAAAGAAUGGUUUAAUUUAUUUUCUAUGUUCCCAAUAUCUGUUCCUUGUGCAAUAUAUUUUAUAUUAGCAAAGGCACAAGAGACCACCCAAUUACCAUACCAAAUUCUCUGUAAAAUCUACUAGGAUUCCUUUUCUUACCCUAAAUAUCAUAUUUCUCACUAAAUUCUCUAAGUUUUCUUUUUUUAUUGUCUAUCUUUUAUCUAACUGUCUUGAGAACCCUGAUGGCAAGGAAGCAUGCUAUUAUGAUGGUCAGUCAAAAGGAUCUAAAAUAUGAGAAUCUGAGCUUUAAAUAAGACAUUAAAUAUAGUACACCAAAUCAGCAUAAAUCUGUGUAUUAAAAUGAUAUUUUAAAGCCUAAUGGGUCAUCUUUACAGAAUACUAAUUUUCAGUUCAUUGCUUUAAAAACUUCUAAAUGGGGAUAACUUUAAUCUUUCUUUUGAGAACUCCACUACUGACAGUAGACAUGAAAUUUUCUCUUUAAAUCUUUGUAGCUAAAAUAAUCAGGAAAUGAUAAGAUUAGCUGAUGCGGUAGAAACCUUUUAUAGAAUUGUUCUCUCUAAUAAAAAAAGAAGGAAUGACAGAAUUAGGAUGUCUCUAUUUUGCAUACCCUAAUGGACUUUGGAUGUAGACAAUGAUUUUUGAACACUGCCAGCAUCCACAAGGGGAAACAGCAAGUCAUUACAUGUCUCCUGAUGAAAGAAGCCAGCCCCACAUAAGAGACUGUUGCCAGAAAACAAACAAACACACAAACAAACAAAUAAAUAAAUAAAGGUAGUCUUGCCUCCAGAUCCACCAAGCAAUGUUCAGGAACCAUGGAAGACAGGAAUGGUUUCAGAAACACUACAAAGACACAAAGAGCAAAAUCCAGAUGGUGAGAAACUACCGGACAAAUAAUCCGGUUUCUUCAAGAAAUAAUAGGAAAAAAUGAGAUGGACAGCAAAGGGGAUUCUAGAGAUUAAAGUAGACCUAAAAGACUUAUUAAGCAUUAACAAUUUCUUUUAAUUACAGCCUGAUUUGAACAAUAAUCUUUUUAUAAGUUAACAUAUGUAAAUGACAGUUGCAAAUGUAAGCAGUAUAGCUAUUUGAUAUUAAGUAAUUAUUAUUUACUUUCAAAUAGGAAAAUGAUACCAUCAUUCAAAAUGAGAGAUACCUCAAAAAAAUAAUUAAAUUGAAAGUGCAGAUGCUCCUCGACUUAUGAUGGGGUUACGUCUUGAUAAACCCAACAGAAGAGGAAAAUCUCACUAGUCCAAAUGCAUUUAAUACAUCUAACCUAUUGAACAGCAUAAUGAGCAACACAGUAUAUUGUAGAAUAUUUCUUAUUUAUGCCUAUGAUCAAGUGGCUCAAUAGAAGCAGUAGCUUGCUAUUGCUACAGGGUAUUCUGCUGAAAAUCUUCUGUCCAGAAAAAGAUAAAAAUUCAAAAUAUGUUUUCUACUGAGUAAGUAUGGCUUUCUCACUACUGUGAAAAAGACAAAAAAAAAUUUAAGCUGAAACAGUGUAACUGGGAUACGGUUUAUUUGUUUAUUUAUCUGAAAGUUGCUUCCAAAUAAUACAGAAGCAGAAGUGGACCCAGAUACAGCAACAUUCACAAUAAAUUAGUAAUUGUCUUAGAUUGAUGGGUUCAGAGGGGUUCAUUACACUAUUCUAUUCUGAUAUGUGUUUGAAAUGUUUUAUAACAGAUAUUUUUGAAAACUAAACAAUGAGAUAAAUAGCAUAUUAGACCUGGAAAAAAGAUAAAUAAAUCUAUCAUAAAGAAAUAACUCAGAAUAGAACAAAAGUAUAUGGAGAGUAGAAUAAAAAAUUGUAACAUAAAAUUUAAUCUAAUAAGUUUUGUGGGACAUAUAUGGAAUCAAAAAGAAAAAGUCAAACUACCAGGCCUGGUGGUGCACACUGUAAUCCCAGUAGCUCAGAAGGCUAAGGCAGGAGGAUUCCAGGUUUAAGCCAGCCUCAGCAACUCAGCGAGGCCCUAAGCAACUCAGGGACACCCCGGCUCUAAAUAAAAUAUUAUGUGGCUCAGUGGUUAAGUACCCCUGGGCUCAAUCUCUGGUAUCAAAAAAAUUGUUUUUUAAAAACAUUUGCCAUCCAAUAUUGCCAUUCGAUAUUGGUACAGAUGUUGGUUGAAGGGUUCAAAGUUUCAGUUAAACAAGAUGAAUAAGUUCUGGAGAUCCAUUGUACAACAUGAUGAUUACAGCUAAUAAUAAUGUAUUAUAUAUUUUUAAAUUGCUAAGAGAGUAGAUUUUUAAUGUUUAUGUGAGGUAAUGCAUAUAUUAAUUAACUUGAUUUAAUCAUUUUAUAAUGCACAUAUGUAUCAAAAUUUCACAUUAUAUACCAUAAAUAUAUACAAUUUUAUUUGUGGAUUAUGCCUUACUAAAACUGAGUACAAAGGUAAAAUAAUAAAAAAAAUCUGAAAGAGAAGUUUUGUGGGAACAAACUGAGGAGAAAAAUUACUAUUUGACAAUAUUGUGCAUAUUUGUGAAUAAUUUUCAAUAAAUGAUAGAAAAAAUAUAAAAUUUUAAAUUCAGCAAUAAGAACAAAUUUUGACAUGAAUAAGUAAUAUUCUUGACAGAUUGAGGGAAUUAGGAACAUUGUUCUGUGAAGAGAAAAUCAUGUAAGAGAUAGCUUAGAGACUUGAAUAUUUGGGGUGUCGUAUUGGGAGAACUGAAUAGCAUGGAGUGGGCUUGAUGUUAGGAAAUAAGAAAAAAAGCUGAAUAAUAAAUGAAAUAAGGAAGGAGAGUUGGGGUAACACAGGGAUGCUGUGUGUGGGGAUGCCCUCUGGAAUGUGCAAUGCAAAGCUCCUAUAGCUUCAUUCUAUUCCUGGAGCCAUAUUGAAAGGUGCCAUACAAUAUUGUAUGAACAGAGUGUUUUAGCCAGCUUUUGCAUCACUGUAACCAAAAUAUCCAACAAGAACAAUUUAGAGGAGGCAAAACUCCAUUACUCUGGACCCAAGGUGAUACAGCACUUCAUGAAGGAAGGGCCCAGCAGAGUCAAGCUGCUGGGGUCUUGGAAGGGUAAGGAAACAUCGAGAAGGAGGGAGGGGAGAAGGGGCCAAAGACAAGACACACUCUUCCAGGGCACAACCUGAGUGACCCAACUCCUCUAGUCAUUCCCCACCUUUCUAGAGUUACCACCCAGUCAGCCAGCAAACUAGGAUGGGCCAAUUAGGUUACAGCUCUCAUAAUUUAAUCAUUUUACCUCUGACUAUUCCUUCAUGAACAGGAGCUUUUAGAGAAACUUCAUAUCCAAACGAGAACAACUAAAAAGGAUUUUAGUAGAAUAACUGAUGAUCUUUAUCAUGUUCCCUUUUCUCUGCCUUCACCUUCACCUCCAACUAUUUCCAGAAGUUUAGCAGGUUAAAGAGAGCAAAAGGGAUUUGCACAGACUGAACCAUGAGCUUGAAAAGUUGAACAAUUUUUUUUCUAAACUAAAUUCUUUAUAUUUUUAUAUAUUUUUGUAUGAUAGCUGAUACUUUGUGCAUUCAAAUUAAACUCCAAUUGCAUUUCCUAUGAGUUAUUGCUGCAGCAUUCAUUUUUUUUUACAAGAAUUCCUGUUCUUAGUCUUAAAGCAAAAAUUAAAUUUAGUUUGUAUAUUAGAGAGGUGGAAAACUAUAGGAGAUAAAUAAUAAAUAUUACAUAACAUAUUUCUAUACUCCUUGAGUUUUAGUAAAAUAAUUUUAGACUUCUUGUGGUAUAUAAAUUUUUAAAAUAUUCAAGGUUAAUAUUUUACAUUACAAAGAUAUUUAAAUAUCAUUAAAUAUGUAUAAUAGAGGCACAGGACUAAAAUAGAUAUCUUUACAUAUAACAAUGAUAUAGUUAAAAACUACAGUAAUUUUACACGGGAGAUCUGUACUAAGGAUUAUUUACCUGCACCUUUAUCUCAAUAGAUGAAAUGAUAGUAUUGGUCCAAUAUUUUUUUUUAUUUUUCACAAGGCUGGGAAUUUAUUACUUUAAUAUGUAUGAAUCUACAUAUUUUCUGAUUUGCUUAUAAACACCCGUGGUUUUCAGGUGCAUAUCAUACAUUUUUCUCCUUCUCAAACAAACUUUCUCAAUAUUCUUACUGAUGGAGAGAAGGUAACUGAUUUCUGUCAUCCAUUCUCUAGUCCUAACAAUUGCAUCUAUAACUCAACCCAGGGAUUCAUAAGCUUUUUCUGCCAUACGUCACUUGGGAACUUUGAAGAAGCCUAUAUCCCCUAUCUCAGAUAUCACUUUUGAAUGGGUAGAAUUCACAAGAAUUCAACCAUUACAAAUUAGAAAUAGAAUUAUUAACUUGUAGUAUACUAACAUAUAUGAUUAUUAAUACACAAAAUAACAAGAUUUAGAAAUGGAUCUAAAAACAAUAAUAAUUUCAAGAAACGCACCAUAAAAAACAUUUCAAAGUAUUUAUAACAACAAAAAUUUAGUCUGACAGUAUUUUGAUAUCCGAUUGUCACAAAGGUCCAGGUGUAACUAAAUACUGUUGGAAUUUGUUCCUUAUUUUCAUAAUUGAAGUGUUGUAUUUUAAUUACAGGUUAAUAAAAGUAAAAAAAGCAACCUUUGUCCAUCCACAUUUAUAGACCCCUGAAUUAUAUUAGUACAUAGCUUCCCACUAAAAAACCCUGAGUCUCGAGCAUAUAAAAUGCAUUAUUUUAUUCUUUAUAAUUUCAAAAUAUUUAGGCAAGAAAAAAAAUUUUACAUCUGCUUUUGAAAAAGUCCACCAAGAUAUCAGAACAGCACAAUACAUGAAUAGUUAGGAAAAAUAAAAAAUGACAAUAGACAAACAGGAACCACUAAACAGGGCAAAGUCUAUGUCAGAUCAUAUUAGAAUGCAUUGAACAGUGCUUAUCGUGUACUAUUUACCCAAGUUUUUCACUGACUAUGACACUAGCUUUAUUUUCAGAUACACAUGCAUGUUACUUAAUUCCCAGGGCAAAGUUAAUUUUAUGCUUUGAAGUAUAAAAUAUUUUCCUCAUUUUAGUUCACUUGUUCAAAAGUUAAAACUAAUGAAUGUUCACCUCAUUAAUGCAAAGCAAAGGAAACAGGUAUGAUUAUAUCCCUGGUAAAAUAGUACUUACUUUCUGAAUGGCCCUUUAACAUUAGGAAAUAUUGAUGAUAGGCCUGGAAUUUUUCUAACAAAUGAUUUUUUUCUGGCUCCUUCACACAUUCCUGAAAAUAUCUUGCAAAUAAUAAGAACAAUAAUAAUACUCUAUAUUUUAUUUUGAUUACUGCUAAACAUUUUCACAACUAUUAUUGCUUUAGUGCUGCCAUUAAGAUUUUGAGAUUAGAGAAGCAAAUAAUGUUACUUGGUCAAUCAGGGUACCAACAGGAAAUAUUUAGCACUGUUGAAAAAGGAAAAUUUGGGGAAAGUUUAUUCACAAGAAGAUUACAAAAGUCUGAAUAUAGGUAAAUCAUAGUGGUUGGCACAACAGCCAAGGGCCCUGGCCUGAAGAAACAAGAGGCUUCUGGAAUAUCAUAUAUAGUCAUAGAGAAUCAGAUGCCUGGGAGAAACAGUAAGCCUCGUUGAGAAGCAUAGCUCACUGGAGAAGGUUUUACAAGGGGGAAUGGGAGCAUAAAAAAUUGUCCUGUCAUCUUUCCCACUCUCCUGGUCUCUCUUGCCAAGGUCACCUAUAGCCUAAGGUUGCAGGAACUUUUAUGCUAUCCAAAAAUGUCAGCCACCUCUGACUAAAAGUGAGUGAGAAAAGAUAAAGAAAUAAAUGUGAAGCAGCUGAUGGAAGAGACCCAGCACAGUUAUGCACAUUCAAUAGAACUGGGUCAAUUAACAUUUUGCUUCAGACUAUUGUUAUUAUAAUCAUUUAAUUGAAAGGGAAUAACUGUAGAACACAAUUUUACACCCUACUCCAUGCAUUCAAGCCCACUCGAUGGGAGUACAUGUUUCCUUUCUCUUGGGAAAGCCAAAAGUAGGCACCUUGGCUCUGAUAGUCAUAUCAGAAUAAUAGGAAUCCUUGUGUUCACUUUUAGUAUUUUCUGUUAAAUAUCAAAUCUUAUGUCUUAGCCCAAACCAUGAAUAUUAUUAAAGCUUUCUUUUCCCCAGCCUUGGCCCAUUCAUGCUGGGAAGCUGCAGUGAAAAGAGGGCUAUUGUCAGUUUCAUCCUCACCCUCCCAAUACUGCAGUAGCCCCCCUGAUUUUGUCUCCUCCAGAAUCAACACUGGAGAUGCAGAGAGAAAUCUGACUUGACUGAUCAGACAUGAUCUGGCUCUAGUGCUCCCUGACCUUUAUAACCCAAAGAUGACUCCUUAUUAGGACUUAUUUUUACAGACCAUCACAUAACCCUCACUGGGAACUUUGUUAUAAACAUCCUGGCCUCCAGCCAUGCUUCUCUUUUGGCAGGAUGCUCUUCACCCUCUAUACUUUCGGCUUUUCCAUUUUACACCACCACCAGCAUCCUGCUGAGUUUGCUUCACCCAUCACCCCUGGCAGAGAGACCUUGAGGCAACUUAUCCUUUAUAAUUAACCUAGGCCAGCUCCAUCCACAUGCUCCACGUCCUUAACUUUGGUUACUAAAAGGGAAGCUGUUCCUUAUGUAGUCAUCCCUCUUUGCUCUGAUAUCAAGCCCACUCUCAAAGUUUCUUGCCCUUUAGAUUUUAUAGGUAUGGUUGCAUCAGGUCUAUCAUGCUUCCUGGGUAUAUCUCACUCUGAGUGGUUUUCCUGAAGACCCCUAUUUGAAGGUAGAAGAUAAAUGUCCCUGUUCUCCAAUAACUCCUUCCUGAGAAAUUCUUUCCUCCUGACCCAUUCAACAUCAAUUCUUUUAUUGGGCUAAGGUUGGAAAAAAUCAGUUUGCAGCAACAUUCUUUGCAAAUACUACAUGAGUCUAGCACCUAACUUUAGAAUACAAGAGGAAAUACUUGCCUGCCUACUUUGGGACCACAGCCAAAAACUGAAAUAGAAUCUUAUUUGAAAACUCUUGAUAUAUUACCUGCUUUUUAACAUUUCAUAACACUCUAAGAAGGAGGUUGCUAUGAAUCCCAUUUUAUUGGUGUAUUUUCAGAGAGAUGAGUUUUCUGAGAUUACCUAACUAUAAAUUAUGCAUCAAGUUGUUUAAUCCAAGUCCAAUGAUUUUCCACUUAAAGCUAGUUUUGAUAAAGAAAUUAAAGCUGAGUGAAUAAGGUGCUUAUCCAUGACCAAGAACAGUGAAGUUCAUUUAGAACGUAUACACUGAAUAAAUACUAAUGGGGUAGGGAGGAAGAGAAUGAGAAGAAGAUUACCACUAAAUAGGGAAGAGAGGUGGGAGGGAAUGGGAGGGAGAAGGGGAAUUGCACGGAAGAUGGAAGGAGACCCUCAUCGUUAUACAAAAUACAUGUAUGAUGAUGUGAGGGGGGAAAAAAAGAAAUGUGUCACAUUAGAUUGGGUAGAGAGAAGUCAUGGGAGGGGAAGGGAGAGGAUGGGGAGAUAGGAAGGGCAGCAGAAUAAAAUAGACACUAGUAUUGCUGUGUGUAUAUACGUGUCUGUAUAACCAAUGUGAUUCUGCAACCUGUACACUCAGAAAAUGAGAAAUUAUACCACAUUUGAUUCAAAUGUAUGAUAUGUCAAGAUCAUUGUAUUGUCAUGUGCAACUAAUAAAAAAAAUACCAUACUGAAGACAUAUGGCCUUCUAUCCUAAGGUUCAGGAUAAAGUUGAGAAUAGUGCCAGGUUUGAGUUGUUAGAUAUGACUGCCCUUCUUGAUGACUGUCCUAGAGACUAAGAUAAAAAUCCUAACAUUUUAUUUCCUUUCUAACUCAUUGUAAAUCCUGUGACAGACCUAGGCCAACCUCCACAUCUUAUGAUUUUUGCUGAUUCUUUUUAGCUCUUAUUUGGUGAUGCCUAAAGGAUGUAGUUCAAAAUGGGCUACAUUUCAGAUGUUAGAAACACAGAAAAAGGAUUCAGAGGGAGGUGCCCCAGUUUUCUUUUUUCCCCCAAGUUAAAAAGCCUGACCAUGCAAUGGGAAAUGCCCUUGAGCAUAAUGAUCUUGGGCCAUUCUUGCCAAUAACUGUUCUUUAUUGUCUGUCUCUUCUCACCUCAGCUCAACACCACAAAAUGACGCAGUUCUUUACCUUUUCUCCCCACCUAACUCUUGUCAUGAAGAUUUAAACUUUCUUCUAAAAGAGAGAAUAUUUGACUCCAUACAUGGGCUUUGCAAUGUGUAUUACCCAUCCCUCCAAAAAGAAAUUUUUGUAAUAUAUUUUUUGUGUGAUUCUAUUUGUUGGAUAGAAGUUUUAAAAUUUUCAUUAGUUGCUCAGAGAGAUUCAUGAACCAAGUAAAUGCAGAUCCCUUUGCCCUAUCCUACUACUCUGCAAUGCUUUCCAAAUUAAGCAUCCCUGGUUCUUUCUACAGCUACCUAAAUCUCAUUAUUUGAUCCCAGUGCUGGUGGUUUUGUUCCGAAUGCCUGUUUAGUUAUCUCAUUCCUGGGACAAUACUUCAGAAGCCAAUAUUAUUUCUCUUCUGCAUCAUCAUCAGCAGCAGCAGCAGCAUUAAUUUAAUAGCAGUCUGUUUAAAAUUUAAUUACCAGUUUUGAGAUAGAAUUCUGAAAGUCAAAAGUAAACUUCUGCUGAGUGAAGUAGCAUUUCCUUUCAUCAUUCUAAAAAUCACACUGUUGAUUAUGAAGGAACCAACUGGUUCCCUCCUCCAUGUGCAGGAGCUCUAAUUAGGCUUCUUCUACCUGUAUUCACUUCCUCCCAGGGGAAUAGCCUCUUCUUUGAUUGGUCAGGUUGGGAGGAGUAGUUGAGUAUGUUCAGCUCAUACGCUUCCUUCCUGUUUUUAUUAGAUAGCAAUGACUAGUUAUGUCAAUCUGUCUAAUCCAGGCAGAAUAUAUAAGGAAGGCCUUUGAAAUGUAGAUGUGAAUUCAUUUUCUACAUUCAGUUUUGUCAGUAAUAAAAAUGGCAUGUUGGUUUCUAGAUAGAUAGAUAGAUAGAUAGAUAGAUAAAUCUUAUUUCCCUAUUACUUCUAGAUGUAGACUUGGUAGGAGGGAGAAGGCAUUAUGUAAUAGCUAGUUAAAACCACCUUAUCACUCAGAUUUAAUAUGAUCCUUCAUUCUAACAUUCUGGAAUUUGAAUUUGAAAACCUAUCUUUCUGUGUACUUUUGAUUAUUUCCUUCUCAUCCCUCACAGGGCCUUGCUGAGUACUUAAUUUUAGGUUUUUCACAUGGCAGUCCUUCCAAGCUCCUAUAGUUAAUUAUCAUUCCUACUCUUUCUUUUUCUUUUAUUUUAUACUCGAAUUUUAAAUUACAGUAACCACAAUUGCAAGAUUCAGGGGUGACUAUCUGGCUUAUUGUUUCCACAUGCUCCCUAAGUUUUUCCUGGAACCCCUAAAUUGGUGUGUGAUUGCUUGAGAAUCUCAUGGUAAUAAAUAUCAAUUGUAGUGAAACAAAUUAUCCAAAAUUGAGCAGCUUAAGAAAACAACAAGCAUUAUAAUUUUCAAACCAUUUUGGUGCAUUAACAAUUCAAAAAAAAAAAAAAAAAAAACUUGCUGGGUGCUUCUGAUUCAGGCUCUCCAAGGUUACAGUGAAGAUGUUAACCAGGGCCUCAGCACCUGAGGCUCUGCUGGAGCUGAAGUAUCCAUUUCCAAAAUGGGUUGGCAGCUAGGAGUCCCAGUUCCUCACUGGCUAUUUUCAAGGCCUUAGUUCUUUGCUAUGAAAACCUCUUUAUAGGGUUGUUGGAGUGUACUUAGGAAAUGGCUGCUGGUUUCCCCCCCACACCCUCCAGGCAUUCAUUCGACACAGCAAAGCAAGAGGUGCAGCAGCUUCCUCGCUUUCACAUGGUUUUUCCACAAGAUCCUUGGUGACAAGUCAGCUCUGCCCCAUGUGGAAGGAGAAUAUAUAAUGGCAGAAUUAUUGGGGGCCACAGCCUGGCUGCUGUACUCAUAGACACUUAAUAAUUCAUCUCCCUGUUUUACUAAUCCAAAUUACAUCCUCAGUUAACUGUUACUAUUUCCUCCCCUUUUGCAUAAUACUGAAUAUGGGUGGAGCUGUAUGACUUUCUUCAUAGAGGCCUAGCAUUUUAUUGCCUCUUUAAAAUAGAGCAGCAAAUCUGACUAUUGUUUUGAAGGAACAUUCUCCAUGCUCUGGUUCCAAGUUUCUUUCCCCAGGAACUUAAAACCAUAAACAGAAUAAGUAAAACUUGUUGUUGUGUCCAACAGUUGGAGGAAAAAGGUUUUAAGUACACAUGAAUCAACCUUUACACAUGAAAUUAAUGAACUGCUAGUCUGGAAAAUAAACCUUUACAAAUUGUGGAGGCAUGGUUUUCACAAAGAACAAGUUCUCAAACCAUGAUGCAAUUAAAUAAAUAACAGAAGGAAGACCAAAGAGGAAGGUAUAAUCCUUUGCCAUUUAAUGAGAAUAGAGCUGUCUGNGAGGCAAGGCACCGAAGAUAGCAGGAAACAGUUUUAUUUGGCUGCAGCCAGGUUCAGAGGGCACAGCUUUUGCUGUAAUCAAUCAAUCCCCUGAACCCCGAGUUCAGGGAGUUUCAGAGUUUUAUACCCAGCAUGUAAGGGGAGGGGCUCAGAAGUUCACAGUCUGCAGCAGUUCACAUAAAAGCAGCUCUUUCUUUCACUGUUCUGGGCAAGUUAACCCUUCAAGGACAACACCUGAGAAGGGGAGAGCUUCUUCUCUUCUUUCUAUCCUCCCCAUGCCAGAUGUUACCAUGGAGCCCAUUUGUAACUUAUCUUAAAAAUGUAGACAUCUCUGUGAAGCCCAGCUCAAGGCCAGAGGCCUUGUUUGCACAUUUCUUCAAAGUACUGUACUGGAUACGUUUGUGAAAAACUAGUAAGGGGUGCCCAGCACCUGGAGUGCUGGUAUCUUCUUGGCCAGUGGCCAAGUAAACAGGGCGACAUGAAAACAGGAAGUUUAUCUACAAUGGACUCUUUUUCUGACAGUCCUAAAAGCAGCCAUGGUGAAGAGGGCUUUUCUGUGGAAAAAGGGGGUGCCACUUCAUUAUCAUGUAGGAGUUACCACAAAAAAUACUGUAUAAGGCUGGUUUAUAUUAGAAAAUCAAUAAUGGAAUUGACAAAUCAAAGAAAUAAAGGACAUCAUCCCAAUAGAUGAAAAAAAGCAUUUGAUAAAAUUCAAUAUCCAUUCCUGAGUGAAAUAACCAGUAAAUUAAUAAUAAAAAGAAACUUCAUAACAAGGGAAGGAACAUCUAUUUAAAAAAAAAAACACCUACUAUACAUAUUCUAAGCUGACACCAAUAAAAACAAAUCCAACAAACUAUAGAAGAUUUUUAUGGAGAAAAUUAUUAACAGUUUAUUUGAAGGCAUUAAAAAUAACCUAAAUGAUAAAUGAUCUUGAAUAAUCAGCCUCACUAUCAUGAAGAUUUUGAUUCUCUUCAAAUUGACUUAUAUGUUCAAUUUCAGUACAAUUUCAGUCUAUACUGCAAUAAAAUUUCCAGUAAACAUGGCAAGCUGAAUCCAUUAUUAGGAUAGAGAUGAUUAUUAGAUGAGGUAUAAAAAUUAAACUAAAUAUUAUUUUCAUUAAAAAAACAAGAAAAAUCACAGAUGGGACAAGAUAUUUGAAUAUAUAUAACUUAUAAAGUUUAAUAUUCAGAGUAUUCUAAGCCCUCCUACAAAUAAAGACUUAAAAUAAAAGCACAAUUACAAAAAAACAGAUAACAGACUUAAACAGGCACUUCCAAAAUAAACAAAUGAAAAUGUGAGUAACCUCAUUAGUAGUCAGGAAAAGCCAACUAACACCCAAACCAUAUAUGACUACUGAUGAAUUAGAUUGGCAAAAUUGAAAUUCUCACAAUACAAUGGUUGUCAUAGUUUUGAAAUAGUAGGAUCUGCCAUAUAUUGCUCUCAGGUGUGUAAAUUGGUGCACCUUUGGAAACUGGUCUAUAAAAUGAAAUUAAGUAUAAGCAUAGCUGGCAAUUCUACUUCUGAAAAUAUACUUUAAUCAUUAAAAUGAACACCAAAGGCAUGCAUAAGAAAAAAUUCAGCAGAACAGUCUGAAGACCAAAAAGAAAAUUCCUGAAUUUUUUAUUCACAGUAGAAUGGACAAACCAUUGUAUAUCCCUGUGAUGAAAUCAUAUGCAGCAACUAUAAAUAAAGCAGCUAUAGCAACACAUGUUAGCACGGACAAGAACAUAAUGUCUAAUCUCAAAAUACAUAAUAUUUGUUGAAAGAGAGAAGAGUCAUACAUGAUUCCUUUUUAUGAUGGACAAAACUUGAUUAUAUUCAGGGCAUAAAAUGAUAUUUAAUACAAUCUAUAUUGUGAAAUGAUUGUCAAAAUCAAGCUAGCAUAUCCAUUCUUUCACAUAGUUACCUUCAUAUUUGGUAAUGAAAUACUUAGAUCUACUCAAUUAGCAAAUUUUAUGUAUAUAAUACAUUAUAGUCAAACAAUAAACUACCAUUUUUAAUAUUAACAUUAGUAUUAUCAGUACUAGUAAUAGUAUUAACAUAUUGUUAAUGACUAUGUCACCAUGCUGUACAUUAAGUCUGCAGUACAUGACUCAUUUUAAGUACAAUUCUAGAACUGUCUAAGGUAAAUACCAGAUUUUUGAAGAAUACAUACACAGAUAAUAAGAUAAGGAAAAGCAGAGAAUGAUUAGGCUAAGCUUCAGUCGUCUAUAUAUUACCUCUGGGAAAAUGAGCCAUGAGAGGGGAGAGGGAUGCUGUGGUGAUGUCAGAAGUGCGGAUAAUAUUCUAUUUCUUAUGCUGGUGCUGCAAAUAGAAAACUCCUUUUCAUUUUCUUUAAACAGAUUAUAAAUAAAUUUAGAGUAUUUUACAUGAAGUGAUUCUUGAUAAAAUGUUUAACUGUGCCUUUUUAGAAUGUUCAAGUACCUUUAGAAAUGGAAUUAUCCAAGAAUAUAAAUUUUAAAGAAAAUCCUAUUUAAUAUUGGAAGUCUAUACUUUAGUGUACACUAAACUACAUAGUUUAGUCAUGUUUAAAAGGGCAGUCUGUAAUUACAGUCUGUAAUCCCAGCAACCAAGAAGAUUGAGGCAUGCAAGUUUAAGACGCUCAGCACCCUGUUUCAAAAUAAAAAAUAAAAAAGACUGGGGAUCUAGCUCAGUGGUAAAGUACCCCUGGUUUCAAUUUCCAGCACCAAAAGGAAAAAUUAAAAAAUAAUAAUUCCCUUUAUAUUAAUUUGAUAUUCUAAACCUUUAAAUUGCUUAAAGAAUAUUUUAGAAUGAAAAACGUGGAUUGUUUUAAAUGCCUAUAGUAUAAGCCAUGUCAUACCACCAUUUUGUCACAAGAGGGACUAAAUACUCAGAAAGUACAGCUUUCCUUUUUGGUCUUAAGAAUAUUUCUCUAUGGACUGGGGCUGUGGCUCAAUGGUGGAGUGCUUGCCUAGCAUGUGUGAGGCACUGGGUUUGAUUCUCAGCACCUCAUACAAAUAAAUAAAUUUUAAAAAUAAAGAUCCAUUGACAACUAAAAAAAUUAUUCAAAAUAUUUUUAAAAUGCUCUAAUAUUAAUUUUUUACACACUCUAUUUUUGUCAGCACAUGUGUUUUAGUGUAAAGUACUAUUAUACUUUUAUAAUAAUAGCAAAAUAACUAAAUUACCAGUUUACUUCUGAAAUGAUAUAGAUUAUACAGAAAUUCUUUAACUUAUUGAACAAUUAUAAUUUCUAUUUACUUUUUGAAAAAAAGUUUUUGUUUUUAUAUAAGCACUAAUGCUGAGUAGAUGUGUGUGUGUAUACAUAUAUAAUAUGACAUAUAAUAUAUAUUAUGUAUAUAUUUUAUACAUAUUUAUAUUUUAUAUAUUACAUAAUAUAUAAUAUAUAUUAUAUUUAUAUAAACAAUUAUGUUAUAUAUAUGCUUAAUUUUAAAAUUUAUUUUCUAUAUACCUUUGAGCAUUUUCAACCAAUCCUAAGUUUGAUAAAAUAAAUCAAGUACUUAUGUAUCCAUUGUUAGUCUCUACUUUACCCACUUGGCUACUUCCUCUGCUCUAAGGAGGCUUAAGCAUUUCUGGAAGCUCUUUCAGUGGUCACUAUAUAUGGACAAGGAGAGGUAACUUACUGACACAAUUCACCUAACACUUUAGAUAUUGCUCUUUUUAAAAAAGUGUUUGUGUUUAUAAAGGUAGGCUAUAAAUAGUUUGAAAAUCACUGGAUUAGACUGGUAGAAAAGAAUAAUAUCAGUUGGAAAGUACAAAAUGUUUUCACGUGCAUUAACUCAUUAGGUCUUUUCAAGGUGAAUUGUGAACUCUGAGAGGUAGCAUGUCUUAUUCACCACUGUAUCCCCGUGCAUAGAAUAAAUCCAAAUGCAACUAUUACUUAAAAAGUAAAUAUAUUAAAUGAAUAAACAGCUCCAGAAGAUAGAAACAACAAGUAUUAUCUAAAUUUUAUCAAAAAAAGGAAGCUGAUAAUAACGGACGUGCAAAGGAUCACAUUAGCACUAAGUAAAACAAUCAAAUUAGAGCCCAAGCCGUCCAUUUCCCGGUUCCUAAUACUGCUUUGAUCAAAUCUGGGAAAAGGGAGGGAAGAAAAAUUAGGGGGGAAAGGGAAUCCAGGAAGGAAGAAAAGAAGAAAGGAAGGGAGGGAAGUUGGGAAAGAGGGAAAAAGCAGGUUUAUUUUGCUUUCAGCACUAUAAAAUCUUCUUUCACCGUCUGAUCUCUCAAGGAAAGAUCAACUGUAGUAAAGCCUAAAAGAAAAAAAUAUUAUUUCUAUUCCUUUUACUUUCAUUUUUGAAAAAAUAUAUUGGCAGUAGGGAACAGUACUGUUCUAAUUUAUAUGAUUUAUGAGAAUAUCACACUUCUCUUAAAAAGUAAAAAUAUUUGUUUUUUUUAUGACCACUAUUCUUAAAGAAGAUUUGGGAAAUCAGUGUACAUGUCAUAUGAAUCUUUGUCCCAGCUGCUAUUUCCUUCCCCUUUUGACAGUCCUUUUAACACCUGGGAGGGUUUGUUUUUUCACUUCCUGUUCCUAUUUAUCAGAGACUACUGGGGACAUUCCCUCCCUUCCUGAAGUGGCUUUUGCCCUAUUGGUGGUCUCCUGGAGUUACAAUGGUGGAAUAGUCAGUAAAGGGAUUUAGGGUGAAAAUUACAUCGGCUUAGUAUUUUCUAUAUAUUAACCCCAUUACACUCAGACAUAAGCCCUACAUCACAUAGAGAGAUGUAUUUGGUUUUUGAUUGCUAUGAUAAAAAAAUUACAACAAAAUUAUUGAUCAUCUUAAAAUUCUGUAGAUCAGACUCCAUUAUAUUCUCACCACCCAACAUGUAUAUAAUGCUGGAUGACUUUUUCCAGGCUUAUUUCAGCUAGGUCAUAUGGUCAUGUGAUCAUAUGAGUCAUAGAAUCCAUUGCUAGCCAAGAGGUGUCCUAUAAAGUUUCUCCUGCAGAGUGCUCUAUGCUGUCCUUCUUGCAUUGUCUUCCAUCUGGACAAAGAGGAGAUCUAGAUAUCCAUUGGCUGUUCCUCUUUCCCAGAGUUUCUAAGGGAAAAUCUAUUUUCUGUUCUUUCAAAUUGUUGGCAGAAUUCAGUUCCUCAUGGUUGCUCAAGUCCCUGUUUCCUUUCCAAAACUUCUAGGGGAUGCAUCAUUCCUUAAUGCAUGAGCUUUUCCUUCCUCUUCAAAGCCAGCAAAUGUGGGCAGUCCUUCUCAGUUUGCUGUUCCUGUCUGACCUAGUUUCCUUUAGUCAUCAUCUACUUUUAAGGACUUCAGUGACUAGACUGGAAAUACUCAGCUACAGUAGCAUCAUCUUCCCAUUUCAAGGUCCUUACACUUAAUCCUGUGUGCAAGUGACAUAUUUGCAGAUUCUGGGGAUUACCAUGUAGACAUCUGUGGAAAGCUGAUUUUCUGACUACCACAAAGAAAACAACUGCUUAAAGAUAGUUUAAAAUGCAAAAGAGACAUUAUUUUCUUUUCACAGCAAUUAUUUAUAAUUGUAUCAAAUGGUUGAAAGCAUGACCAACAUGCCUAGUUUCUUAUAAGUCUUAAACAUGCAUUUUAAGCUAAUUUUAUAAAUAACAAAUUUCCCAUUUGGUUAACAAAUUGACAAAUAUAUAGUCAAUUUGUAAUUAAGAAAUCCAGAAGUGCAAACAACAGACAUCACCUUAAGAAGUAAUAUUUUGCAGAAAUAAUGAAGGAAGGUAGGGAUGCAGAAAUGGUAAAAAUGAGCAAUAAGUAUUUUCCCAUACCCAAUUAACUGGCCAAAUUUUUUCCUAGAAGACAAAUCUUAUAAGACAAUACAUAUAGUCAUGCAGCUAACAAAACCAAAAGCCAACCCAGAAUGGAAGAUGGAUGUGAAUCAGCAGAAAACAAAGUUAGAUUAGAUGAAAAUAUAAUAGUCCUAAAUAUUAUUUGAUGGUAAUCACAUAUCAGCUCCCCUGUGUGUUGUUAUUAUCCUUGUAUAGAUAGCACAAUACACAGCAUCAGGCAUGUAGAAGGCACUAAAUAUUAAUAACUUACAAAUUAAUUCUUUUAAAUAAAUUAAAUGAUAUUUAUAGAUUUUUAUGUGAAAGGUACAACUUUAAAAGUCCCUCAUGUUUCGUUUGUUCUCCAUGCUUUUCAGAGCUUUUUAAUAAAUUAUUUGCUUCACAGUACCAUCAAGACCAUCAUUAAGAAAAAGUUUGGUCUCAGUAAGACUAAGAGAUUUUCCUCUAUAAUUUGCAUUAAAUUAUCAUCACUUCUGAGAAUACUUGCCUAAAGGUUUUUGAAAGCAAAGACUAUUUCUGUUAAGGUCUAUAAACAAGUCAAGAUGGCGCCUGGCAUUUUGCCAGAGGGAGUGGUUUGUGAAGUAACGCCAAGCAAGCCAUUAAGUGUGGAGAUUCCUUAUUGGUUGACUGAUGUAUCUAGUUUAUGUUAAUUAAGAUAAGCUGUGUGGAAUGUAUAUAUACCCCUCCUGUCCUACAAUAAACGGCUCCCACUCCUGCUGUAUCAAUGUACACAAGUUGCUCGUCACCCCCCGGUUACUUUGCUGCAGCCGGACUGUGGCAAUUUCUUAUCCAUCUAAGUCAGGACAGCCACAGAAACAACCUUAUACAUAGUAAGGACAUAGUAAAGUAUAAAUCAAUUGAAUGACUAUAGGAUAAAACCUCAAAAAUGAUUGAGGUUUUCAUUAAUUUUUGGCACUUAUGUAGUAGAGAUUAACUAUAUAAUGCAAGCAGCAAUGAACUAAAGAAGCUAUUGAAAAUAUUCCCCCCAAAAGUCUUUUUUUUCCCACUCUUUAAGAUGAUGAAAAUUGGGCUGGGGUUGUGGCUCAGCGGUGGAGCGCUUGCCUAGCAUGAGCAAGGCCCUGGGUUAGAUCCUCAGCAACACAUAAAAAUAAAUAAAAUGAAGGUUUUGUGUCCAACUACAACUAAAAAAAUAAAUAUUUUAAAUAAGAUGUUGAAAAUUAACUUGAACUAUAAUGCAAUAUGUGCCACAUCACUGAGAUUUUCAAGCAAUAAACUGUAUUAUUACAGUCAUUUGCAAAAAUAUAAAGCAGAAAACCUUGCAUUUGGUUGGGGAAUAACUUUUCAGAUUCUCAGUCCUAAAGUAUUCACUAAUAAUAUUUUGAUUUUUUUUGAUCUAGGUGUUUAUUGUACAUAUCUGUACAUGUCUAAUAUAAUUCAUUUAUAAUAUUCCUACUUUGAAGUCAACCAAAAGCCAUAUGGGUAUUAGUAACUAUUGCAGGGGGUAUAACUAGGUAUUGAACUCUGGGGCACUUGACCACUGAGCCACAUCCUCAGCCCUAUUUUGCAUUUUAUUUAGACACAGGGUCUCACUGAGUUGCUUAGUGCCUCACUGUUGCUGAGGCUGAUUUUUAACUCAUGACCCUCCUAUCUCAGCCUCCAGUGCUACUGGGAUUACAGGCAUACACCACGGAGCCUGGCUUUUAUUAGUAACCUUUUGCUGAGAGGCAAGUCACUUAUAGAGACUUCUUAGUUUAUCCCACCUAUCUCUGUCUUCAUUAAGUAAAUUCUAGUUUCUCCUCUAAUUCCAAGGCUAGAAAGUGAAAGUUACAUAUUCUAAUUUUUGAGCAUCUCAUGUUAGGAUUUUGUUUUGACAGCAAUAGAUGAUGAUACUAAAAAAAUAAAAUUAAAAUGCUUAAAUAUAGUUUUCCUUUUAAAGAGCAAAUAUUUUAAAAUAAAACAAAAGAGCUAACAAAAGAGGAGUUACUGGGAAAUGAAUUGACCAAAUCAUAUUGUAAUAUUGUCUGCAUGAACAAAUAUGUAACAAUGAAUCCCACUACUAUAAAUGUACCAAAUGAAAAGCCAAUGUAUAGAACAUAUAAACUGAAAGAUGUAAUGGGCCUCUUAUAAUCCUGUGUGGAUAUUUUCAAACUUCAUUUUAAUAGGGAGAUUGUUUAAAUUUUUCAAACAAUAUUUAAUAUCAAGAUUAUACACACAACCCAGACCACUGCAUAUAAGGUUUUUCUGGGUGAAGUCUACAUGAAGGCAUGAAAGGCAAACUUCCUUCCACUCAGCCUUCUUCUCUGCAUCCUUUCCUCUCCCACCACCAUACUUCCCCAAAGAUCUAUUCUGAGGCAGAGUUUGGAGAGAACAGUUCAGUUUUCCUCAAUAAACAGAAGAAUAAAAUCUGAAGAGGUCAAGAGAUUUACCCACUUAGCAGAUCAGUAUGCCAAUACAACCUGGUUUUUCACUUUGUCUAUUUGACUUUGCAUAUAUUAGCUUCUCUAAGCUCAGGUUUCUGGUGUGUAAGAUGGAUGUGGUUAUACUCACUUCCACAGACAUUCAGAGUGUGAGAAUGGUAACUGGUGAAUGUAACUAUUUUCUUUAUUCCAACUCCCAAAGAAAACCCCCAGAUCUGCAUGAAAUGGAAGCAUAAAAGUAAUGGUUAAUAAUGGCAACUUUAGCUUAAAAAUAUUCUCUUUGUUUCAGGAAAGUAGUAGCUCAUCCAAAAAGACGAUUUGGCAUCCCCAUGGAUCGGAUUGGUAGAAACCGGCUUUCAAAUUCUAGAGGCUAAUUGAUUUCAAGUGUGAGUACAAUUUGACUAAGUAGCAAUGCAUGCAAGUAUUUGAUUUAACAUUUCAUGAUAGACUAAUCCAUUCUUGCUUAUAAAUCACCUUUUUGAUUUCUUAGCUCAUAUAUUCACUUUUUCAAGCAUUUCUGUAUACAAUUAGUACAUUGAUGCUAAGCAAUUUAAUAGACAUUUGGAAAACAGAGGAAUGUCUUAUAUCUUCUUCAUCCUAAAAUAUUAUUUUCACAAAUUUCUAUGUAGUUAUUAAAUAUUAACAUGAAAAAGGUUUAAACUUAUAAUGAACACAAUAAAUCACCUUCAUAAAUAUGCAUAAGUGUAUAGUCAUCCCUUUGUUAUAAAGACCACACAUUUUAUUGAUUAUUAUCAAUGAAGAUAUUACUAGGAUUAUGAUAAUAUGGAACAUAGGAGAGAGAAUGAUAUAGUAGAAAGAAUAUAAGUCAUGGAAUCAAAAUACCCUAUUCAAAUCCUGGUUGUCAUUCAUUAUCUUGUUUCUGUCAGUAUACCUUAUUUUUAUAUGUCUUUUAUGUUAAACUAGUAUAGUGUCAUUGUGAAGAUUAAAUCAGAUCUUUGUAGUAAAUCUAGAACAUGUUGCACACACAAUACUUGCGAUUAACAACAAUUUACAUUACCAUUCUGAAAAUAUACUCUGUGUUGAGCCCUACACUUAGUGCUUCACAUGCAUUUCUUCAUUGAAUCAUUCUGUCCCUUAAAGUAGAACUAUUUCUAUCUCCAGUAUCUUGAGAAGCAGUGCAGAAAAUGGAAUAAAGGUGCCAGCAAGGGACAUCAGGUUUUCUAGUUUCAAAUCCUAGGUCAUCUACCUGUUAGCUGUAGGACCGACCUUAAAUUCUUAAAUCUUACUUUAUAAAAUUAGUAUAAUAACAAUUUCUAACACAUAGUAUUUUCCUAAGGAUAAAAAUGAAUGGAUGCAUAUUAAGCACUUAGGGUAGUGCCUAACAUAUAAGUAUUUAAUAAGGUGUAUGAUUAUUAUUAUUUUUAUCAUUAUUAUAUAAGCAAGUAGAAAGUUUAGAUAUAUUAAUUAAAUCACAAUGCCAUAUGGUAAUACAUGCAGAUAGAAUUAAAAUCCAGGAAACUUAAAUCCUGAUUUUAUAUGUCAAACACUUUAUUUAAUCAUAUACAUUGUGUUUUAAAAACUAAAUAUUUUUGAAUAUGAAAUCUAGGCAAUAUAUUUUCUCUCAAUAUGGCUUACGCAGGUUUAUCCUUUCUCCCAAACAUUUAAGACAACCUAUAACUACCUUAUCAGUUUCAAGCUAACAAAGAGGUAAUUCUGUUUCCUGUUUCUCUUACAAUAAUCCUCAGAUCAAUAAUGCAGAGUCUCCAAAAGCAUGGGUUUUGCCCAUUCCCCCCUUAAUUUAAAUGACCCAAUUUUCCUUCUCCUCAAAUGCUUUACAGUCACAAUAAGAAGUACAUAUUUUUUAUCAGAAUGACUUAAUUAAAAUAAAUUUUGUCCACUGGGUAUUUGUUGAUUAAUGAUGUUCUACAGUUACUGAAUGCCCAUAAAUAUAACCAUUUAUUGAAUACUACCUAUUUUUAUUUGUUCUAAUUAGUUAUAUAUGACAGUAUAGUAUACAUUUUGUCACAUCAUACAUAAAUGGAGUAUAACUUCUCAUUUUUCUGAUUGUACAUGUUGUAGAAUCACACCAGUGGUGUAAUCACGAAUGUACAUAAGAUAAUAAUGUCUGAUUCUUUCUACUAUAAUUCCUACCCCCAUAUCCCUUCCCCUUCCUAUUACCUUUUGAACUGCACUAUCUUCAAAACUCAGAAUGAACUUUUUCUUCACAUCUAGAAUAUACCAAGUACACUCUUACGAGUUGUUAAAAAUCACCACAUUAAAGUAGGAAGUAGCUAAUUGCUAUUAAAAACCAAGUAACUCAUGGAAUAGGGCCCAUGUCCUCCAGUUUCUUAAUGUAUUAAUUGAAUGGCACUAGAUUAAAACAAUUAAAUCCAAUCAACUUGCCAUCCUUGAUCGUUACCCAUUUUUAAAUUUCUGAGUUAAACCAAAACAAGUAUGAUAAACAAACUGCACAGGAAAUACAUGUUCAUAUAAAUACUUAUAUGAAAUUCCAGGCCAUAGAAAUUCUGGAUUACUCUUAAUCUACAGAGUUGAAUUAAUAUAAUCUUUCCUGAAUCACUAUUGGGUGCAAUCCAAAUUAGUAAAUUUUAUCCUUCUCUUAACAAAUCUUGUUUAGCAUCUUGAAAAUUGCUUUUUUUAAUCUUUAAAAUCUUAAGACAGUAAUAUCAUGAAAGACUGGUUUAGAAAAGAACUUAAUAUCAUGUAUUUUCUCUUUCCCUUUUGUCAAUCAUUGUGAAUUCACCUUCUUAAUUGUUGUUUAUAGUCCCACAAAUAUCCCCAAGAUUUUUUACGUCCUCAUGUGAAGUUUUGUGUUUUAUAUGAAUAACAGAACCCAUAAAAUGAUAUUUAUAUCCAUUCAAAUUUUCAAGGUUAUUUUUGAACUCUUUCUUCCUAUUGUGACUACAUGCCUUUGAAAAAAGCAUGUGAUAUUGUGAUAUAACAUGCAACUCAUUUAUUAGAUAACAAGUCAUUAAAUAACGUUCCUAUAGUCAAACAGCUAAGUAGUUGGAUAUCCAGAAACUUAGAGUUUUUUAAUCCAAUUCCAGUUUUUAAAGCAAUUCAGGAAACAGGUGCUAUGAGAGGAAAUUGAUUUACCCAAACAUUUACAGACUCUUGGCCAAAGCAAGAUCUAAAACUCAGGUUUGGCCUUCUAGGCCAACAUUCUCUUCAUGGACCAUCAGGUCUUCUUGGUGCUAAAUUGUCAUUGUUGAAUGUUAACUUCACUGGUUAUACUUUCUAAAAUAAAGAGAAACAAGAUCUUAGACAUUCUGAAAAUCUUUGUUUCAUUUCUGUGAGGGUUGAAAUAUUAUCUUUUGAAGCAUGUUUAGUUGUGGGUUUUCACCUUCUGGGUUUCAUUUUAAGUCUUCACACCAAAAGUGAAACUGGUACCUAAUCAUGGAAGUUUUGCUUGGUUUGAGGUCAAGUCUAGACACAGCUGCUAUGCACUACCUAGUUUCCAAACUGAUAGCAAUCUCCUCUGUGUUUUAGAAAAAAAGAUAAUCUAAUAUUUUCACAAUGUCUUUCUCAAAUUAUUAAUACAUUGUACCAAAGUUUUGAGUUUUUAAAUGGGCCUUAGUUCUAAGCAAUACAGAUUUUAAGAGGUAUUCUGUCUCAGGUAUCAUAGCUUCUCUAGACGUAAUUAGCAAGUUCUGUACCUCUGCCAUUAAAAUCAGGAUACCUACCUGAUGAAAUUAGCAAUAUGACAAUUAAGAUGCCUGCAUUAAGGCUAUUAUUUUAAUAAUGUGAUGAAUAUGUUUGGUUUAUAAUGACAAUUUUUAAAUAAUUUUUAUAUAAUUUUUCAUACUUUUAUUUAUUUUUUUAUGUGGUGCUGAGGAUCAAACCCAGGGCCUUGCACAUGCUAGGUGAGCACUCUAUUGCUGAGCCACCACCCCAGCCCAUGACAAUUUUUAUUUUAGAAAAAUUUUGAUAACUAUCAUUUAAAUAAAUUAAUAUAACUCUCAAGUAUAGCAGGAAGAUCAUACAUAAAUGACAGUGUAUGUUGGGAUCCUUUUAACAAGAGCAAAAUAGAUAGCAAUUAUUGAUAUGUUAGCUAACAAUAAACAGAAAGUUGUAGUCAGCUUUUCUUUAUCUGUCUUUGGUUUGUCGGAAGAGCAUCCUUUGAGCCAAGAUUGAAAGUUCAAGUGAAACAGAAUACAGUAGAUAUAUGAAGAAAGGUGUUUUAACAGAAACUUUUUAUAAAUUUUAUUAAUACAUGAGCACAAACACCUAGAACAUAUACAUUUUUUAAAAUGUUCUUUAAUGCAUUUUGAUCCAAAACUAUUAUUUUGCAUUAUUUUCAAAAUAAAAAUAUGCCAUAUAUAUAAAAACUAUGAAAUAUCAUAUAAUUAGAGGUUUAGCUCAUCUUUAUUAAAGUUGAUGGAUUUUCACCUGAUCUAUCUCAUUAGUUUUAGCAAUUUCAACUUUCAUUUUUUUCAGAUGCAACUUCCUUGGGUGAAAUGACACAGAAAUGUGGAAGAUGCUUCCAUGAAGUUCUUCAUACUCCUUAAGCAUAAAAUUUUAAGGAACUGGCCUUCUGCAAAUCUUUUCCAAACCUUGAACUUCAGUCCAU
rnacentral:lncRNA from 1 species